rnacentral:misc_RNA from 1 species
UACGAUGGCCAAAGUACUAUAACGGAGGGGCUUCGAACUGCCCUGGCCCGACUGCGACAAAAAUCCACCCCCGGUAGCCAGUCGUCCCCCCUCCACCAACCCGCUAACUCCCAGCCUGAUAGUGCCAACCCGUCCGAAAACUGCUCCCCUAGCAGUAGCCCCAGUCCUCGCCCUAGAAUGACCAUAAACUCGCAGUCGGGCCCAAGAUCUACCCGACCUUCCGAGGACUUGAUCACAACGGCUACUUCAGCGCUUAGAAGGCUACAUUUCAAGACUGGCCGGGGAAUUACCAAAACGAAUGCCAAAACGCAGGCCCAAACGCCGGUUCCGAAGGUGGUCCUGAUGGGCUCCAGCACGGCUUCAGAGACAACCAUUAAUACCAGCACUGACAGUUCCAACACCAUGAUUACAACCAUGACCGCAACCGACGGCGAAACAACCGAUUGUCAUGACAGCCUUGAGAUAAAUGAUUCUUUCGACAUAUUAAAUUUAGAUAACAACCAGCUGGAAGGUGGUAACGCUGAGAGAGGCGCGCAUUGUAUCAUUCCCGUGACAAUGUCCCCGAAAACACCUACAACCGUCAAACAUGAGCGUCAAUUUACGUUCGACGUCAUGAACGUCACGGCGACGACGCCGCAAACUGCAUGCUGCAAGAAGAACGACACCUUCGUGUUUGAUACGCUGCUCCAAAAUGACGAAAUUUGUAUGCAAGAAGAAAAGAGUGUUGAAAAGCUUAUGGAAGAACAUAAACAUGAGGUAAAACAACCUAGCGAAUAUAAACCAGUUAAAAAUGAUGCGGAAAUGUUUCGUCCAUUGGAGGACGUCAAUUCUCGAACUAUCAGCAAUUCGAAGGACAUGCUCCGGGGGUCCAGUUCCGAGGAGAGUAAAAGCUCAACGACGACAAAAGCAGAGUCGGACGGCGGUCGAAGUUCUUCGAGCAGUCGGACUCAAAGUACAAUUCGCGUAAAACCGCGUAGAUCAAUGUCUGUAGACAAAACGGGGCACGAUUACAGGCUCGAAGUAAAGUCCACCGUUUCUUUGGACCGAGGAGGAAAUCAGACGGGUACACCUCGAACGAAACACCGGCACAAAAAGCGACAUCAUUCUUCCUCCGCAAAGAACAAAGUUGACAGAUUCACUUACGAUGAAAAGCACAUUAGCAAAUACAGGGAACAAGCCAGAAUGACACCCCCUCUUCCAGAUCUUCGAAUAGAUUUUUUUAACGAAUCAGCCGAAACUACAGGCUCCAACCUUCGAGAUUCCCUUUUGAUCCCUAUAUCCCACGAGAAACGCGGAAGUGUAUGCCUGAACAAGUGCAUACGAGAUGUCGGAGCUCAGUUGGAAUCUUCGUCCACCAUAAAUGUUACCACAAAUCCCUUGGAAAAUUCUGUACGUUUUGGUACCACUACGGGAGCGAAUUCCCGAGGAACCAGGCAGCCCCAGGCUACCAUCGUAGUUCAGCAGCCUUCCGUUAGUCUCGACCAUUCGGGAGUGUCUACCAUCCUUCUUAAAAAUGGAAGCGAUUUCGUUUCGAACGUGGAAACUACCAGCAAAGUUAAAGAAGAAAAUGUCAAACAACUUUUGGAUGUUAGUAACAACUUAACCAUGGAGGAAAUACAUGACUUUGAAAUGAGGUAUGGGAGUCCCCAUCACAGCCGUUCUCAAUCAGUUAAAACUCCAGGAAGAUCAUCCGGUCGUCCAAAUUACCUGUGUCUUCCACAACAAAGGUCGAGGGUAGCGUCAAUGCCAAACACAGGGGUGGAAGAAGAAUACUACCGUCUCAGACACUUUUCAAUUACUGGGAAAGGAAUUGUCAAUAGAGGAGACAGUUUGAAAAGCAGGAGAUCUCGUUCAAACAAUUCCGUAGCUUCAAGUAACUCAAGUACUGAACAACUACCAACGGCUGUUUCGGCGACGGGUUCGUGUCGCACUUCGGCUUCUUGUAGUUUGGCUUCCUCCAGAGAAUCUUCGACAAGUGCACCAGGUCCCACCCCAUACAAAGUGUUGAUGCUUGGAGGACCAGCUGUCGGGAAAUCUUCCCUUGUCUCCCAGUUCAUGACAUCGGAAUAUCUUCAUGCAUAUGACACAAGCAUAGAUGACGAAAGUGGGGAAAAAUCUGUAUCUGUUUUGUUGGCUGGUGAAGAAUCUGAAUUAAUAUUUAUCGAUUUUGCGACAGCUGAUUUAUCGCCCGAAAGUUGCAUCAAUAAAUACCAAGAUCCCCAUGCAUACUGCGUGGUAUAUUCCAGCGCGGACAGGUCAAGUCUCGUGUGUGCCGAACGAAUACUUCAGACACUUUGGAUGAUGGACAAUAUUAGUACGAAGGCUGUUAUUUUAGUCGCAAACAAGGCUGACCUUGUCCGGUCAAGGGUUGUAUCAACAGAAGAAGGAAAGUCAGUGGCAACAAAUUUCGAAUGCAAAUACAUAGAAACUUCGGUAGGAAUUAACCACAACGUUGACGAAUUAUUGGUAGGAAUUUUGACCCAGAUUCGUCUAAAAUUGGAAAAUCCUGAAAGGACAAGGGACAUAUUCCGGAAAAGGAGUUCGUCGCGCAAAAACUUCAGUAGAAAUAAGUCGCCCGUUUCGGGAAGCAGCACACCUACCGGUAGCGCACAAAACUCUCCCAAAAAGUACAGGGGCUCCAGGACGUCCGCCAGUCUUAAAGUCCGAAGCUUACUAGGGAGGGUGUGGGCGAGGGAUAGCAAAUCGAAAUCCUGCGAAAAUCUACACGUCCUGUAAACAAAUUAACAAAAGACAGGAUUCAAAACACGCUUCAGAAGAAGGCGAUUUGACACAGGCAAAUUUAAAGGAUACUACUUUAACAAAAAAAAAAAAGAAAAAGAAAACAAUCGUCUAUAAAAAUCAGAAGAAGAACAACCUGCAUACAUACCUAUUAUAUAAAAAUGAAAAGAAACACUGCCUUCGUUAAA